GAUAAGUUGAUAAGAAUGGGUAAGAUUAUAGUCAAUGACUGUUAUCUGUGAAAAAAAGCUGCUGAAUCUUGUAAUCACAUUCUUCUUUGGUGCCCAAGGGUUUAUAAUCUUGUAUAACAUUUGCACAAUGGUUUAUAAUCUGUUAAGGAUUAAUUUGAUUACUGUGGAGUUGAUGAGAGAUGAAUUAUGGGCUUGGAAGAGGAUAUGUACAAAGAAAAAAUUUGUAAAUCUUGUUUCUUUAAUUAUUUUUUGGGUGGUUUGAAAAUAGAUGAAUAGUAAAGCUUUUGAGGGGUGUGAGGGGGAGAUGUUUUUUAUUCUUUGAUUUUGAGUACAUUUAUAGGUUGGAGGAUUUUGUGAAUGUCAUUGAUAUACUAAUUGAGCUGUAAAUAUCUCGUAAAUAGGUGUGCCCCUUGGUGUCGUAGACUUAAUAUACUGCAUUUUUUU
rnacentral:lncRNA from 1 species